CUGAGGGUUUGAUCCUGGCUCAGGGCGAACGCUGGCGGCGUGCCUAACACAUGCAAGUCGUGGGGGAAAGGGAGGCUUCGGCCUCCCGAGUACACCGGCAGACGGGUGAGUAACACGUGGGUAACCUGCCCCCAGGUCCGGGAUAACCUCGGGAAACUGGGGCUAAUACCGGAUAAUGUGCGUGGGCGCAAGCUCACGCACCAAAGGGGGCCUCUGCAUAGCAAGCUCCUGCCUGGGGAGGGGCCCGCGGCCCAUCAGGUAGUUGGUGGGGUAACGGCCCACCAAGCCUACGACGGGUAGCCGGCCUGAGAGGGUGGUCGGCCACACGGGCACUGAGACACGGGCCCGACUCCUACGGGAGGCAGCAGUGGGGAAUCUUGGGCAAUGGGCGCAAGCCUGACCCAGCGACGCCGCGUGGGGGAAGAAGGCCUUCGGGUCGUAAACCCCUG
rnacentral:rRNA from 1 species